GCUUGGAAUCGAGGCGGACAAUGUAAUCAUUGUAAAUGACUACAUGAUUACAUUGUCGGCCUCGAUUCCAAGCUAUUGUUUCGUGUGCACUCAAGCAAAUUCGGGAGGUGUCUAUAGUACACAAGUUCCGGAUCCCCACGAGAAGCAGCGCUUGAAAAUAGAUCUAGCUACCCAGGGGAAAGAACGGAUUAACAUAAUGACUAAUGUAGUUAAUGACCAAUGUGAAUCCCAAGAUAAUGACCAACCAACUAAUCUGAGUAUUAACAAUCCAAGUUUUAAUGAAAUUUCAACUAAUGAAAACCGCUCAUUGCUCAAUAGUACACAAGUUCCAGUUUCUCAUGACAAUCAGCGCGUGGCAAUAGACCUAACCACCAA